GACAGAGGAGCCAAGCGUUGUCCGGAGUAACUGGGCGUAAAGCGCACGCAGGCGGCUUGGCGCGUGGGGUGUGAAAGCGGCAGGCUUAACUUGCCGAGGCCACCUCAUACGGCCAAGCUCGAGCCCUGCAGAGGUCCACGGAAUUGCCGGUGUAGUGGUGAAAUGCGUAGAGAUCGGCAGGAACACCCAGGGGGAAACCAGUGGACUGGGCAGGGACUGACGCUCAGGUGCGAAAGCGUGGGGAGCGAACCGG
rnacentral:rRNA from 1 species